CCUACGGGUGGCAGCAGUGGGGAAUAUUGGACAAUGGGCGAAAGCCUGAUCCAGCCAUGCCGCGUGUGUGAAGAAGGCCUUCGGGUUGUAAAGCACUUUCAGUGGGGAAGAAAGCCUUGGGGCUAAUACCCUCGAGGAAGGACAUCACCCACAGAAUAAGCACCGGCUAACUCCGUGCCAGCAGCCGCGGUAAUACGGAGGGUGCGAGCGUUAAUCGGAAUUACUGGGCGUAAAGCGCGCGUAGGCGGUCUGAUAAGCCGGUUGUGAAAGCCCCGGGCUCAACCUGGGAACGGCAUCCGGAACUGUCAGGCUAGAGUGCAGGAGAGGAAGGUAGAAUUCCCGGUGUAGCGGUGAAAUGCGUAGAGAUCGGGAGGAAUACCAGUGGCGAAGGCGGCCUUCUGGACUGACACUGACGCUGAGGUGCGAAAGCGUGGGUAGCAAACAGGAUUAGAUACCCUAGUAGUC
rnacentral:rRNA from 1 species